rnacentral:rRNA from 1 species
ACUCCUACGGGAGGCAGCAGUGGGGAAUUUUGGACAAUGGGCGAAAGCCUGAUCCAGCAAUGCCGCGUGAGUGAAGAAGGCCUUCGGGUUGUAAAGCUCUUUUGUCAGGGAAGAAACGGUGAGAGCUAAUAUCUCUUGCUAAUGACGGUACCUGAAGAAUAAGCACCGGCUAACUACGUGCCAGCAGCCGCGGUAAUACGUAGGGUGCAAGCGUUAAUCGGAAUUACUGGGCGUAAAGCGUGCGCAGGCGGUUUUGUAAGUCUGAUGUGAAAUCCCCGGGCUCAACCUGGGAAUUGCAUUGGAGACUGCAAGGCUAGAAUCUGGCAGAGGGGGGUAGAAUUCCACGUGCAGCAGUGAAAUGCGUAGAUAUGUGGAGGAACACCGAUGGCGAAGGCAGCCCCCUGGGUCAAGAUUGACGCUCAUGCACGAAAGCGUGGGGAGCAAACAGGAUUAGAAACCCUGGUAGUCCC